UGCAUACUGCAGUAACAUUGUCUCUUCCAAAUUAUAGCUAUCUUUCACACACAGCUCAUUUUAAACGUUGGUUCUUCAAAUUUAAAACGCUAAUUUCUAUGUUGUCAAUUGCAUCUCCGCGCUCGGUGGCAUCAUUGCUACGUCACCACUCCUCACUGCAUGUUUCAGGGGGAAACGCUCUAUGAGCUAGCCCUUCACUGACAAUACUAGUUUUAAACUAGUCCUGACAAUACUAGUUUUAAACAGGCGAAGUCAGAGCAGGUGCAACAUAGUGACGUCAGACUACUUCCUGUUAACCCCCUAUGAGGAUUGCGCCGGCGAGGAUAUAAAUAUUAUUAUUAUACAAAGAUUUCAAUACCAGAUGGCAGCACAAGUAACAGCAGGAAGUGGCAACAUUGUUGGUCGCCAGUCGAGUGUGACGCCACAACCGAAGAGAUGCCGCAACGAUAACCUUGAGGUUGAAAGAGAUAAGACCAGCAGGGGUUAAAUUUUUGCAUUGUAUUAGCUUGCUAGCCGUCUCAAUGAAUUAUUUAUUCCAUGCGAGGAAUGAUAUUUUUCCUUCGUUUUACAGUACUAGUUUUAUUUAUGUAUUUAUUUUUUAGACUUCUAGUAUUUUUCUUUAAGAAUUGUGAUUGGAAAGCGAGUUGGAUACAAUACACUUACGCUAUG
rnacentral:lncRNA from 1 species